CCUGCUCAAUGAAAUAUAAAUAGCCGCAGAUAUUCUGUGCUAAGGUAGCAUAAUCAUUUGUUUUUUAAUUAAAAACUAGAAUGAAAGGUCUAACAUUUUAAUUAUUUUAUUAUUUAUAUAUUUUUAACUUAUAUUAAAUAUAAAAAUAUAUUUAUAUAAAAAAUAGACGACAAGACCCUAUUGAAUUUUACUAAUGUUAAGCUGGGGCAGCUUAUUAAUAAAUAUUUUAAUUUUAAUUUUUAAAAAUUAUCCAGUAUAACUGACUUCAUAAUCAAAUUACCAUAGGGAUAACAGCGUAAUAUUAUUUUAAAGUUCUUAUUAAAAAUAAUGUUUGCGACCUCGAUGUUGAAUUAUUAUUCUUUAUAAAUGCAAUAAUUAUAAAAGUAGGUCUGUUCGACCUUUAAUAUAUUACA
rnacentral:rRNA from 1 species